AUUGACAUAUUGAAAGAGGGUAUACGUUAGAAAAUAUAUGCUAAUUACCUGUAAUUAUGCCGAACGACGAAACACCGUUUACACUUGUUAUCUCGCCCAAGACGGCAAAGAGACCACCAGUAAGGAAGCAAAAUCGCGGAUUGGGUUGGAUACCUCCAAUUAAGGCAUAGCCAGUGAUAUUGAUAAGACUCGACUGGUCUUAUUGGUGAGUGCAAAUGCUUUGAAGUGACUAUCUACAGAUUUCUUUCGAACUAUCCACGAAGAUAUUAAUGAAUUAGGAAAGGGAAAUGGAAAGAUAGGAAUUUAAAUAAAAACCAAUGCUACGUUUCUCUCGAAUGGAACCCUUGAGUAAGGCUCUCGAGUGUAGGUCCUUGAGUGGGGCCUUGGGCGGGGCCUUGGGCGGGUACUUUUUUUCGGAAGGGAAGAAUCGAACUCUUUUCGUUCUAACGUACGCGUGCGUUUUUUGACAUUUUUCGAAAUUAUUCAGAUUUCUUUCUCGUCGAGGGAUCGAUUUAUCAUCGAUGGAUAGAGUUCUCGUUAAUGAAUUGAUUAAUUGUCGAUGAAGCAUUCAUUUCAUCAGACGAUCCAAUAACGAAAAUUUGGUAUAUCGUCGAAGAUCCGAUGUAACAUGAAAGGGCUCACGUUCAUUAGGUUCAUCAUCAUGGUUUUGGGAUUGGUUUUAUCCACGUAAGUAUUUCUUUUUUCCACACUAGAUGUGAAGAGAUAUCCAUUUUUACGUAUGGUUACGAUAAAAAGAAUACUCGUACAUUUGUUUGUGUGCACAUGCGUGAGUGUUUACGGGCGUGAAAUUAAGUCCUACCGAGGACUGCCUCUUGUUAGUUAAGAAGUCUGAAGCUCUCGAAGCAAAAAGAUAUUUAGGUAUGUGGAUCUUAGAGUAGAGUCACCGUUAAACCAUGGAUCUCCAUAUGCAGCAACCUUUACGUGGUGAGAUCUGGGUCGAUAUUACUUGCAAUAUAUAAAAUUUUAAACUUAGAUGAUAUAUAAGUAUAUGUUAUACUGCAAGUACUACCGAGCGAAUGGCUGCAUGUCUUUACGCGUUUCUAAAAUGUUUUCUUUUCAUAUCUUACUUAGACAUUAAAGUAUUCACAUUUUACAUUGUUAAUCAUACCUUUGUAUUAUAUGUAUAAUUCGAUACUAUUAUUUAAUUCAAUGAUUAUUACUCUAUAAUUUUAUUAUAUAUUAGUUACUUAUAAACACUUACAAAUGUAAUGUUUCAAUUCGA